CGUCUAUAUACGUAUAGCAUAUCAAUAAGCGGAGGAAAAGAAACUAACUAGGAUUCCCUCAGUAACGGCGAGUGAAGCGGGAAGAGCUCAAAUUUGAAAUCUUCAAGGUUUUACCUUGACGAAUUGUAGUUUAAAGAAGUGUUUUCUGUUGGAGUUUUGGUAAAAGUUCUCUGGAAAUAGGACAUCAUAGAGGGUGAGAAUCCCGUAUUUGACCAUUAUUUCCAACUUUGUGAUACACUUUCAAAGAGUCGGAUUGUUUGGGAAUGCAGUCCAAAAUGGGUGGUAAAUUUCAUCUAAAGCUAAAUAUUGGCGAGAGACCGAUAGCGAACAAGUACCGUGAGGGAAAGAUGAAAAGAACUUUGAAAAGAGAGUUAAACAGUACGUGAAAUUGUCAAAAGGGAAGCGUUUGACACCAGUGUUGUUUUCUCGAAAAUCAAUUAAAAAAUGAUUGGAUUUUGUGUUGUAUUGACUUUAUCAGCUUUCUGCACUUUUUUCUUGUCUUUUUUAAUGCACUUUUCGUUUAACAAGUCAACAUCAAUUUCUUUUGCUGUAAAAGGGUCAUUGGAAGGUGGCUUUCUUUUCGGAGAAAGUGUUUAUAGCCUUUGACUUCUGCAAGUCGGAGAGAUUGAGGUCUGCAGCGUAGAUCCUUCGGGGUUAGAUACAUUUGUGCUAAGUUAUAGCCUUUCAUAGACAACUUGUUGACUAUGAUCAGUCAUGUAGCUUACUCGCUUAUGUCAUUUUACCUACGCUUAGGAUGUUGACGAUCAGCUGAGCGCG
rnacentral:rRNA from 1 species